UGAGAUAUGCCAACUUUAAAUUGUAUAUCUCUUGUUAACCUAUUGCAUCAUAACUUGGUUUGGUUUCUUUGGCGGAGCGAAUAUGUAUUUCAGGUAUUAAGCUCUUGAAUGGAUUAUUACGAGAUAAUAUUAACUCACCUGAUUCACUUUCCUUAUUAUGUUUUAAAGUAGGUACUUCAACAAUCUUUUGCUCUGGACACCUAUUAUCAUAGGAACAUCUAGAUGAUUCCGUAUUAUAUUGAACAAACCAUGGCAAAAAAUAUUGUCUUCGAUGAAGUAGU